UACGGAGGGUGCAAGCGUUGUUCGGAAUUACUGGGCGUAAAGGGCGCGCAGGCGGCCCUCCAAGUCAGGCGUGAAAGCCCCGGGCUCAACCCGGGAAUAGCGCUUGAGACUGGGGGGCUUGAGUUCGGGAGAGGAGAGUGGAAUUCCCAGUGUAGAGGUGAAAUUCGUAGAUAUUGGGAAGAACACCGGUGGCGAAGGCGGCUCUCUGGACCGACACUGACGCUGAGGCGCGAAAGCGUGGGGAGCAAACAGG
rnacentral:rRNA from 1 species